rnacentral:rRNA from 1 species
CAGGCCUAACACAUGCAAGUCGGACGGUAGCACAGAGGAGCUUGCUCCUUGGGUGACGAGUGGCGGACGGGUGAGUAAUGUCUGGGGAUCUGCCCGAUAGAGGGGGAUAACCACUGGAAACGGUGGCUAAUACCGCAUAACGUCGCAAGACCAAAGAGGGGGACCUUCGGGCCUCUCACUAUCGGAUGAACCCAGAUGGGAUUAGCUAGUAGGCGGGGUAAUGGCCCACCUAGGCGACGAUCCCUAGCUGGUCUGAGAGGAUGACCAGCCACACUGGAACUGAGACACGGUCCAGACUCCUACGGGAGGCAGCAGUGGGGAAUAUUGCACAAUGGGCGCAAGCCUGAUGCAGCCAUGCCGCGUGUAUGAAGAAGGCCUUCGGGUUGUAAAGUACUUUCAGCGGGGAGGAAGGCGGUGCGGUUAAUAACCGCGCCGAUUGACGUUACCCGCAGAAGAAGCACCGGCUAACUCCGUGCCAGCAGCCGCGGUAAU